UACGUAGGGGGCAAGCGUUGUCCGGAUUCAUUGGGCGUAAAGAGCUCGUAGGCGGUUCGGCAAGUCGGGUGUGAAAACUCCAGGCUCAACCUGGAGACGCCACCCGAUACUGCUGUGACUUGAGUCCGGUAGGGGACCACGGAAUUCCAGGUGUAGCGGUGAAAUGCGUAGAUAUCUGGAGGAACACCGGUGGCGAAGGCGGCAUCCUGGACCGACACUGACGCUGAGGAGCGAAAGCCAGGGGAGCAAACGGG
rnacentral:rRNA from 1 species